rnacentral:rRNA from 1 species
GACGAACGCUGGCGGCGUGCUUAACACAUGCAAGUCGAACGGAAAGGCCCUGCUUGCAGGGUACUCGAGUGGCGAACGGGUGAGUAACACGUGGGUGAUCUGCCCUGCACUUCGGGAUAAGCCUGGGCAACUGGGUCUAAUACCGGAUAGGAGCCAUUUUUAGUGUGAUGGUUGGAAAGUUUUUUCGGUGUAGGAUGAGCUCGCGGCCUAUCAGCUUGUUGGUGGGGUAAUGGCCUACCAAGGCGGCGACGGGUAGCCGGCCUGAGAGGGUGGACGGCCACAUUGGGACUGAGAGACGGCCCAGACUCCGACGGGAGGCAGCAGGGGGGAAUAUUGCACAAUGGGCGCAAGCCUGAUGCAGCGACGCCGCGUGGGGGAUGACGGCCUUCGGGUUGUAAACUCCUUUCGCUAGGGACGAAGCUUUUUGUGACGGUACCUAGAUAAGAAGCACCGGCUAACUACGUG